UUGGACGAAGAAUCGACAGGCGCUUGUCGCGGGUGAAGCCUCUGUCUUUGGCUUCCUUUUGUUCUCUUCGUUCCUGCUCCUCUAGUCACUUCUCUCUCAGUCUCUUUUCUAUUUGGCUUUCUUCUUCCCCUGUUUUUUUUUUGUUCUCCCUUCCCCCUGGAUUCGUUGCGUCCUCUGCCUUUUAUAGGCUUUUCUUGCUCAAAACUGAUAUUUAUCUUCCCCGGACACUGAUCUUCACGUGGAGAUAGAGCUUGAGACUUCGUGUUGUGGUUGGAUUGGAACACCAACAGUCCUGUCAUUGCUGGAUUGUUGGUAGUGGUUUCCUCCACGCCUCAAUAGCUUGUUAUGGCGGUGAAGGAAACGACAACGAACUAAGAAACUGGUGAUGGAAGUUGUGGGAAUUGCAAUGUGUCUGUGAGUUGCCUGUCUGGGUGGCAAUUGGUAUUUCCUUCGCAAGGGGCCUCCUCUGUUUCCAGAGGAAGAAGAUGAAGAAAGGAAAUGAAAAC
rnacentral:lncRNA from 1 species